UGAGGAAUAUUGGUCAAUGGGCGAGAGCCUGAACCAGCCCAGCCGCGUGAGGGAAGAAGGUACGAAGUAUCGUAACCCUCUUUUGUCAGGGAACAAAAGCGGGCCUGCGGGUCCGUCUGAGUGUACCUGAAGACAAAGCAUCGGAUCAAUCCGUGCCAGCAGCCGCGGUAAUACGGAGGAUGCGAGCGUUAUCCGGAUUUAUUGGGUUUAAAGGGUGCGUAGGCGGUGGAUUAAGUCAGCGGUAAAAGACCGGGGCUCAACCCCGGCAAGCCGUUGAAACUGGUCUGCUGGAGUUGGAGAGAAGUAUGCGGAAUGCGCGGUGUAGCGGUGAAAUGCAUAGAUAUCGCGCAGAACUCCGAUUGCGAAGGCAGCAUACCGGCUCCACACUGACGCUGAGGCACGAAAGCGUGGGUAUCGAACAGG
rnacentral:rRNA from 1 species